GUAAAAACCUUCAAAAUAUUGUAAAAAUUGGAAAAACUAACAAUAUUUUUUUCAAAAAUCUUGUAAAAGUCUUUAAAAUAUCUUAAAAAUUGGAGAAAAAAUUUAUAUUCGUAUAAAAAAUUGGUCAGUAAAAAAUAUUAAUACACUUUAUAAUUUAUAAAUAAUUUAUAUCCGAAAUCUCCAAAAACUAUCUUGAUCAUGUUAUAAAUUAUUGAACAAUACUUUUCUUAUUAUACUUUUUUCCCAGUGUAAGGGGGUACGAAAAAGUGGUGGGUAGGGGUGUUUUUUGAGGAGCCAAGCGAUGCCAGGCAAACAAACAACUUCAUGGGCGACGUGCAAAAAUUCAAUUGCUACAACGUCGACGUUUGUUGUAUGGUUGUUGUUUCGCUGCUGUUGUUGUCAGCAGCAAAUCACUGGCAAAAUGCUCCCAGCCUCAACCUCAACUUGAGCCCCACUGCAUCUCAGUUCCCACUCUCUCGGAGAUCUUCAUGAUCUUCCCCCAUCACCGUCCCGUUCCCCAGCUAUAUGGUAUACAUAUCUCUCGGCGAGUCUCGAGUUUUAUGCAUUUGUCAGGCCACACUUCGGCCUGCGUCGUCAUCAAAAAUAAAAUAUAAGAAAAAAGCGCAAAAAAUGUCAGUCAGUCAACGGCAGUUUGGUACUCCCCACUCGCUUCUCAAGACCCCGGGAAGCUACUCUCCAAGCGCUUUCUUCCGUCACAUUUGUCUGUUUUUCCAUGCCCAAGACUCGGCCAGUGCCUGCUUUCUGACAAGAGCUGAAAUGUAUCUUUCACCAAGUCACAGCCAGCUAGAGAUGACAGCGUGACUGAAGAUCUAUCUUUAUUGAUAAAGAUCUCAGAAAAAGUUGUUAUGCCAAGUCAAAGAGACCUCAUAAUCUUGUAUCAGUACUUAAAAAAAACAUUAUAAUAUCAGUUAACCAUAUCGAAAACAAGUUCUGUGGCAUAAUAUACUUAUAAGUAUCUUAUUAUUAUCUGUUUUAUCAAGGAACUUAAGAAAUGGUAAUUAAAACUACUAUUAAAAAGAACUACUUAUAAAACUUAUAAUAUUUAGAAAGACUGGCUCAUCUCUGCAUCAAUAUAUCGAUUACGGACAAUCUCCUGUACUUAUUCCCUCGUCCUAUUAGUUGGCUAAUAUGAUAAUAGUCCGUACAUGUGUCUAAGCCAAGGUUCAGACAUCUCCUGAGAAAGCUGGUCCCCGAUCUCAAGCCCCGUUCUCGAUGCACUGGCCAGGCCGAACUGUAUAACCCCCAGAUCCCCACCAUUUUCCACCACCCCACCCAAUCCCCAUCCCCAUCCUUGUUCUCACUGUGAUGGAAAACCAUUUUCUCUACAACUCCAAUCGACGCUCCACUUUUUUGUGCUUUUUUCCUACGCCGUUGUUUUGGUUUUAUGCUUCUUUUUUUUCCGUUGUUGUGUGUAGCUAACAUUUUUUAUGCUCCAACUCCAACUAAACAAUCAACUUUUCAAACUGUUUUUUCUUUCGCUGCCCCUCUAUUUUUCUCUGGCUAUUGCUUUUCCUAUUUGCUGUUGGCUGCACUUUUUGACGGCUUUUAUUGUUUGCCAAUUUCUGGCCCCCGAGACCAGCGAAGCAUUCCAUCCUCGUACACCAUACACUAUACACUAUACCAUACCAUUCCGCGACGCACUCUUUGCCUCUAAUCCAGCACUCACCACUGGCUUCCCUCCUGCUCUCAAUUGGUUGGGGUACACGGGGAGAAAAGUAUAGUCAACAUCUAUAUUUUAUUUUAUUUAAAUAAUAUAUAUAUAGUUUUUACUGAUAUUCUUGACACGAUGGGUUUCGUUUUUUUGUUGUUAUAACACCACUAUGAACAAUAUUUAAUAUAAUAUAUUGAAUAUUAAGCUCAAAUAGAAACCAACGUAAUAGAUACUAAGUAUAAAUGUGCUCUAUAGUUCUUAAGACUAGGAACUGUGAUGUACGUCAAUAUAAACUCUAAAAAAUGUUCAACUUUGGACAAAUAUAUGGGUAUUGGUUCCGUUGGUAUUAGAUUUGUAAUAUUAUUAAUAUCAAAUUGAUCAUCAUAAAUAAAGGUCAAUGGUUUACAUUUAUUUAAAUAUCUAUUUAUAUUUUAUUUUAAUAUAUUUCUUAAUUUCUCUUGAGUUUCUUUCAGUGCACUCCCUCCUCCUGGAUCACCCCUUUCACCUCCUCUUGGCAGCGCAUCCAUUGUAAAUCCGCUAGGCAGUUGAGGAAGCGUUUUGUUCGGCUUGUUUGCCGAUCGAAGAAGGUUCGCUGACAGACGGAGAAAGAGCGAGAAAGAGGGUAUUACCAGGGGUUUUCUUCCCAGAUGGAAAUUGGGGAGAGUAAAGGGGUUUUCUAAGGCGCUCUCCUCGUUACUCGUUUGCCUGCACUUUUCUCCGAUCCCCUUCUAUUUAUUAUUGCCCAAGCAUUUGACUUAUUCUCACUGAUCUCCAGCUCCAGAGCAGAGAAAUGGUGGGAAAGAGACGGAGGGACUGGGAGAAAGAGUCUCGCUCUGCUUGCAAAUCGAAUUGGUUUGACUUGGAUCGGCUGGCUCGAUUUAGAUGGCAUGUCUGGGCAUUUGUUGACGUAAAUUGGCAUUAACCUUCUCGCUGACCUCCUUCCGCACUGCACAUUUAAAAGUUUGCCGGCUAGGGAAAGGCAAGAUUUGGCUGCAGUAAUUUAUUGAUUUUUUAUGGGAUAGUUCUACUUUUAAAGAAUAAAUCUCGAGAUUUUUAUAGUCAAGUUAUGUUGCUACGAGAUUCGCCAAGGUGCUGUAAUGUUAGGUUUAAAGGUCAUGGUAGAUGUGGUUUCAGUCAAUAACAUUUUUUUGCUGUUUGUCUUUUGAAGAUAUGGAAAAUUUGAAAGCUUUCAGGUACAAAUACACCUAAAAGCCUCUCUUUUUGAGCACAAAGGCUCAAGCUGCCAAAGUUUAGUAUCCAUUUUUCUGCAAGUCUUGAGAAUACAGAUGGGCAUACGACAGGCAUUUAGUCCAUUAGCGGAUUUAGAAGGCCUAGUAACACCGUCCUUAUCUAGGAUCAGCAAAGUCUUACAGAAGGCCUAUAUUGAUGUAAACGAAUGGGUUUCCGAGGCAGCAGCUGUAACAGCUGUAAAAAGAAAAUUCACUCCUAUGUGAAUUAAUUGUGAAGACCAGCCGGUGUUUGAGUUCAAUGCCGAUCAUCCGUUCGCUUAUGUCAUUUGCGACAAAAAAACCACUUACUUUCGGGGGCAGUUUGCAAGCCCAAAUUAAUAAAGUAAAAGUUUUCUUACAUUUGUUAAGUAAUUUUCAAUAAAAAAGUAAUUUUAAAAA